GAAGUGAAGGGAAUGAACUUGACCGAUUUUGGGAAUCAAAAUACUCUUGUGAAAAAUUGAAGUUUGGAUAUCGAUUCAAGGUGUGGUUGAAGGGCCUCUCGAUGGGAUAUCUACCUUCUGAUGGCCGAUGAUCAAAUUCACUGGUUUUCAAUUGUCAAUUCUUUGAUGAUUGUUCUUUUCCUUUCUGGUAUUGCGGGACUUAGAUCUUGAGGACUUAAUUUCCUUUCUUAAAACAUGGAGCAAGCGUGCUUCUGGUCAACUUGCCACCAGUUUCGAGUUUUUUUCCAUUCCAGGAAGUGCUCGACUGGCGGUUUCUCACCCUUGGAGGUUUCCUUCUUAUUUCUUUUGUCAAUUGCACUUAGCGCCCAACUUUACUUAGAUGAUCAGCACGACAGGCCUAAUGCGAUUUUUUUCUGAGAUAGAUGUUGGAUCUUUAGUGCAGUUCUCCAAUGCAUUGUUGAUACAACAUCCAUUCAGAAUUUCUUGAGUUUCUGAGGGCCGAAUUCCGCAAGUAAACAAAUGAGAAUUUGCUUACUCAGUUGAUAAUUAGAUAAUGUGUUGCAUCGGAUCUGUAAAGACUUGGUAGUUCUUAGUUAUUCCUUCACCAUUGCUGCUGAAGGCUUACUUUUAGAAGGCGAGAGACGAAUUGAACGGAAGAUUCUGCAACAAGUUUGAAG
rnacentral:lncRNA from 1 species